UAGCCGCAAGCUCCAUUCUCUGACCCCCAGACAGACUUUGUUUGUGGAAGAAAGGUAUCACCACAAAUGGUACUUCGCCUGCAACCUGGAAAUGAAUCUGACCUCAGCAACUUAAAGUGGGGACAAGCGUACUGAAGACAAAAGGAGAUGAAGAGACACAGAGCCCGGGAUAGUCAAAGCCGCCUUGAUGCCAUCCACCAUGCUGCACUCCAGUCGGGGCCGCCCUCACCAGAAACAGCAACCACAGGGCUGCAACAUUCUGCCUUCAAACCAUACACGCUAAGUCACUGUGGGCAGAAGAUCACACCUUGAUCGCCUGAAAUUUGAAUAUCUGCAACUGUCCUUGGUGACAACAGCCAGAUUUAGCAACUAAAGUAUGGAAUGCUUGUGUUCAACACGUGUAAAAACAGUCAUUGCUCUGAAACUCGAUUGGAAUGAAAAGUCCCUAUUUCACCUGACAAGCAUUUCUUGAAGUAAAUUAAGAGGUUUUUUUCCCCCAUGUUUAAAAUGGAUGAAUUUGGAAGAGUGUUCAUGGCAAUGUCAGUAUAUGAUUAAGUGGUAGAGUUACUUUUUGGAUUGCUGAGCACUGAGAAGUGUGAGCAGGCUCAGAGUGUCAUGUUGACUUGGUACCUACAAGAUUCCCUCCAAAAUGACAGCUUCCCCUGUCUUCACCUCUGCAAUCCCACCACUGAUGUCACCAUUUCCUGCUUUCACCCCACAGAGCUUUCUGAGGCAGAGAUUCCACGACGGCUGCAUAUCAGACAGCACACGUCUACCAGAUGCUGGAAAGAACUGUUUGGGGAGAGAUAUCCAGUUUAUCAGGGAAGCAUCCCUGGGAGGGGUGUUCCAGACACAAAUUAAAGAAUCAUAAAUCUAGAAAUUCCCCUUAUCAAACCUAACCAGCCUUCUAGAAAAGGUUUUAUUGUUUUUUUUCUCCGAAGGGUAACAUGUGGGACCUGGGGUUAUUCCUGCGUGACAUUAGUGCCCAUUACCGUUCUGCAUAUAUUAUCAACAUCACACAAGGGUCAUGGUGAGCCCUGCAGUGCAAAUUUUCAUAACGCGAUUUAUUCCCACCCCACGGACACUUAGGCCUCCUCCAUGUGUGGGAGCAAAGUGCAUUUCAGUGAUAAAUAGUAGAAAAAGUGGAAGCGAGUUCUUUAUCCUCCCAAUAGAUCUCUCCCCUCUCUCUCUCUCUCUCU